rnacentral:RNase_P_RNA from 1 species
GCAGCAGGCCGGUUUGUCGCUUCGGUCCCGAUAUUUGUCGGGAUUCGGGGAGGAAAGUCCGGGCAACGUAGAGCACCAUACUUCCUAACGGGAAGCUGUUCGUGAGGGCAGAGUAGCGUAACAGAAAACAACCGCUUCGUUUUCUCGUGAGAUUACGAUGCAAGGGUGAAAAGGUAAGGUAAGAGCUUACCGGGUGCCGUGGCAACACGGUAUGCCGUACGUCUUAUGGGUUGCAAGACCAUGUAUAUCGGAUGGGUAGGGUUGCUCGCCCGAUGCCGAGGGGUAGGUCGCUAAAGAGCGAUGGUGACGUCGUCUCGCAGAUAAAUGACAAACAUCCCGACUUGUCGGGAUACAGAACCCGGCUUAUAGGCCCGCUGCUUUU